AAGGGAUAAAAAAAGAAGGCUGUAUGGAAGAGAGGAAGUGGGAAACCAAUCUGAACUCCAAUUGAAAGGCGUCAUUUAGAAACAAAAACCUGGAUUCCUGUAUUCAUCAGAAGCACUGAAUGCUACCUACAAAGGCAGCUGUAAUCUGGCUUCUUGGACUCAGCUGUUCCCAUUUCCUACCUGUGAUUCCCAAGGACCUGGUUCCACUGAGUGCUCAAUGUAGCCUGAACAGCUCCCAGGCAUUGCAGCCCUGCAGCUGUGGGACCCGCUUUCUUAAUAGUGGAGAUGCUGUAACUGUCAAAUCAAACUAACAAAAGCAUCAGUGAACAAAUACCAAUUUUAGUUGUAAGUAGAUUUACCUCAUGAGCUCAUGACCAAGAUGCAAGUCUGGAGAGCACUGGGAAAACAAUUUACUUAUCACAGAGUGUGCAUCAAAAUUCCUGCAUCUCCUUCUCAGUGAAGAUCUCCAGGCUUAAAACCAAAAAAGGCAGGAACCUUUUCCAACAAUUCCUUAUUACUGCAACUGGUCAGGAGAAAGAAGAAUUUCAGGUUCUGUUCGAACAAUAUAAAGGUCAUUAAAUUACCUACUGCCUUGUUCUUUUUGAAGAGUGAAGAUCUUACCCAGUUCACUUCCCUCCACAAGCUGUAUAUAAAACCACGUGGAACUUCACACCCUCUUUGCUGUUUGAACUUCCCUGCAGAAUACAGGCUGGGACAAAAAAUACCUAGAUGUGUAGUCUGAUGUAAAUGGGUAAUUAAGGUAGAAUUGAUUUUAUAUCUGGGCACACUCUUAUCCUCUACUGUCUAAAUUACUUGACUCAUCAGGAGUGCAAGAAGAUAGUGUUCUAUAGCAACAGUUUGUGUUCAGGCUGGUCAGCAACUAUCAUCUGUAGCUUGUAGCAUUGCCAUGAAAACCUUUCUAGUACCCUUCUGUGUAUCUUGUUGGCACAGUUCCUGUUGUUGCCAUCAUACAGUACACACAGCAGGUAAGGUGCUGUUCAAAACAAGCACAGACAUGUGUGGUCCUACAGGCAGAUUUCUUAACUAGGAUAAAUAAGAUCAGUGAAUGCCAGAACAGGAAAGAGAGAAGUGGAAGUGCGGGGACUUAAAUCAGCACACUGCACCGUUGGGUUUCUAAUGUGCAUUGCUUUACUUUGGAGUAUUAUUUUCAUCAUAGAAUUAAAUAUGCUGGGAAGCAUCACCAA